rnacentral:lncRNA from 1 species
UUCAGUAUUUUUAUUACAUUUGAAUAUGUGAAUUUUCAUGAAUGUAAUAAAAGGUUUUCUACCCCUCGUGGUAGCGUUUUUAAAGAAUAAAGGUUUCCGUGUAGGAAACAAUUUUCAAAAGGAUUUUUUCAUAGAUUUCUGUUUAAACAUUGAACGUAAAACUGUAAUGUGAAUGGUGAAUGAAUGAUUGCAUAGUCGUUUACAUAUUCAUUUGGUUGUGGUUGUACCUGGGUUACUUCUUGUACUUGUGCGACGCCGUGCAAAUACAGGGGAGACUCUGUCCGUGUGAACAGUGGAUUCCAUGUAUUUGUGGCAGAUCUGGCAUUCCCUGGGGUUAGGUUUUCAAAAAAAAAAAAAAAAAAUUUUUCGCAGUGUUUUUAACCUAAAGGGACCCCAGGGCGUGACAUAUUAAAGUGGUAUCAGAGCAAGUUACAACCACAACAUCAUUCACACGUUGUUUUGAAAAGUAAAUGAAACUGAACCAUUGGUUAGGUUGACCAUAGGAUGACCAUAAAAUCGUAGGCACGUACGAGCGCGGGGUAUACGAGAUUUAGUCUCGAGGUUGUCGAGCUGGUAGGUUCGAGGNAAUAAAAGGUUUUCUACCCCUCGUGGUAGCGUUUUUAAAGAAUAAAGGUUUCCAUGUAGGAAACAGUUUUCAAAAGGAUUUUUUUCAUGGAUUUCUGUUUAAACAUUGAAUGUAAAACUGUGAUGUGAAUGGUGAAUGUAUGAAUGUAUAGUGAUCUUUAUAUUCAUCUAGUUGUGGUUGUAUCCUGGUUGUAUUCUGGUUGUAUUCUUGUACUUGUGCGACGCCGUGCAAAUACAGGGGAGACUCUGUCCGUGUGAAUAGUGGAUCUCCUAUAUUUGUGGCGGAUCUGACAUACUCUGGGGUCAGGUUUGCAAAAAAAAAAAAAAAAUUUCAGACGCUUUUCCGCUAUCUCUUAAACCGAAAGGGACCCCGGGGCGUGACAGAGAGGCCGAAGAUUUUAAUAUUAUUUAAUCAUAUAAAUAAUCCUAUGAUGACUUUGGUCCAAUCUUGAGAAUAGCUUGGUCCAACAUCGAGAAUAUCUUGGUCCAACCUUGAAAAGGAGCUAUAUCUUGAUCAAGAUUCUCUAUUUGGACACUUUCCGUUGGACUAUUCACAACCUCUUCUAUAUGUAAAAG